rnacentral:lncRNA from 1 species
AAUAGCGGCCAGCUUUCUUUGUGUUAGCUCUGUUACUCAAGUCAUCCUCUCUUUUUCAAUUUUCAGGGGAAAUGGAAAACAGUUUGAUGUUUUUCUGAAUUCAUGGAGUUAUCACUGACCUUCUGUCUUCUUAAAAUCUCUACAGAGACUGUGGGUCACUGACCCUCAUGAAUACUCACACCACUCAGGACUUUGGGAUUUGGAGAAAGGCGGCUGUGCCAGGUCAUCUGGUUAGAAGAA